UACGUAGGGUGCGAGCGUUGUCCGGAAUUAUUGGGCGUAAAGAGCUUGUAGGCGGUUUGUCGCGUCUGCUGUGAUAAUCCGGGGCUCAACCCCGGACUUGCAGUGGGUACGGGCAGACUAGAGUGUGGUAGGGGAGACUGGAAUUCCUGGUGUAGCGGUGAAAUGCGCAGAUAUCAGGAGGAACACCGAUGGCGAAGGCAGGUCUCUGGGCCACUACUGACGCUGAGAAGCGAAAGCAUGGGGAGCGAACAGG
rnacentral:rRNA from 1 species